rnacentral:rRNA from 1 species
GACGAACGCUGGCGGCGUGCUUAACACAUGCAAGUCGAACGGAAAGGCCCUGCUUUUGUGGGGUGCUCGAGUGGCGAACGGGUGAGUAACACGUGAGUAACCUGCCCUUGACUUUGGGAUAACUUCAGGAAACUGGGGCUAAUACCGGAUAGGAGCUCCUGCUGCAUGGUGGGGGUUGGAAAGUUUCGGCGGUUGGGGAUGGACUCGCGGCUUAUCAGCUUGUUGGUGGGGUAGUGGCUUACCAAGGCUUUGACGGGUAGCCGGCCUGAGAGGGUGACCGGCCACAUUGGGACUGCGAUACGGCCCAGACGCGUACGGGAGGCAGCAGUGGGGAAUAUUGCACAAUGGGCGGGAGCCUGAUGCAGCAACGCCGCGUGCGGGAUGACCGCCUUCGGGUUGUAAACCGCUUUCGCCUGUGACGAAGCGUGAGUGACGGUACUGGGUAAAGAAGCACCGGCUAACUACGUG